rnacentral:rRNA from 1 species
UUACGGGAGGCAGCAGUGGGGAAUAUUGGACAAUGGGGGCAACCCUGAUCCAGCCAUGCCGCGUGAAUGAUGAAGGCCUUCGGGUUGUAAAGUUCUUUUGGCGGGGACGAUGAUGACGGUACCCGCAGAAUAAGCUCCGGCUAACUUCGUGCCAGCAGCCGCGGUAAUACGAAGGGAGCUAGCGUUGUUCGGAAUUACUGGGCGUAAAGGGCGCGUAGGCGGUUUGGCAAGUUGGAUGUGAAAGCCCAGGGCUCAACCCUGGAAUUGCAUUCAAGACUGCCUUGCUUGAAUUCGGUAGAGGUUGGUGGAAUUCCCAGUGUAGAGGUGAAAUUCGUAGAGAUUGGGAAGAACACCCGUGGCGAAGGCGGCCAACUGGACCGACAUUGACGCUGAGGCGCGAAAGCGUGGGGAUCAAACAGGAUUAGAUACCCUGGU